rnacentral:rRNA from 1 species
GUCACAUCACAUUGAAAACUGGUUCCCAUACAAUCAGUGAAGUUAAGCAAUGUUGAGCCUGAUCAGUACCUAGCUGGGUGAUCACUUGGGAAUACCAGAUGCUGUAAG